rnacentral:rRNA from 1 species
AUUCGACGCAACGCGAAGAACCUUACCAGGGCUUGACAUUUGCCUGACAUAUAUUAGAGAUAGUAUAUUUUCUUCGGAACAGGCAAACAGGUGGUGCAUGGUUGUCGUCAGCUCGUGUCGUGAGAUGUUGGGUUAAGUCCCGCAACGAGCGCAACCCUUAUUCUUAGUUGCCAUCAGGUGAAGCUGGGCACUCUAAGGAGACUGCCGGUGACAAACCGGAGGAAGGUGGGGAUGACGUCAAAUCAUCAUGCCCUUUAUGUCCUGGGCUACACACGUGCUACAAUGGCCGGUACAACGAGUUGCGAGACUGUGAAGUUUAGCUAAUCUCUUAAAGCCGGUCUCAGUUCGGAUUGCAGGCUGCAACUCGCCUGCAUGAAGUCGGAAUCGCUAGUAAUCGCGAAUCAGCAUGUCGCGGUGAAUGCGUUCCCGGGUCUUGUACACACCGCCCGUCACACCAUGGAAGUUGGAAGCGCCCGAAGUCGGUGAUCUAACCCUUUUAGGGAGGAAGCCGCCGAAGGUGAAGCCAAUGACUAGGGUGAAGUCGUAACAAGGUAACCAAGGGCGAA